CUCAUGUUGGCUUUGAACGAAUUAGGAUCUUGUUUACCAAUGGCUCUUAAUGCAUACAAACUAUGAUUUCCUUUAUUAAGGGGAGUGCUUUAUUUUUUCCAUUUUCGAUACAUUGUGUGAACACGUUUUUGUCCCAACAGACAUUACAGUCUGCUUCAUAUAUUCAUUAGUGAUUAUCUAGUUGGUCUGAUACUUUUAGAUUCACUUUAGAUUCUAAGUACUAAUUUUGUGGU